rnacentral:rRNA from 1 species
CUACCUAGUAGUGGGGGACAACUCGGGGAAACUCGAGCUAAUACCGCAUACCCUCUACGGAGAAAAGCGGGGGAUCUUCGGACCUCGCGCUAUUAGAGGAGCCUGCGUUGGAUUAGCUUGUUGGUGGGGUAAAGGCCCACCAAGGCGACGAUCCAUAGCUGGUCUGAGAGGACGAUCAGCCACACCGGAACUGAGACACGGUCCGGACUCCUACGGGAGGCAGCAGUGGGGAAUCAUGGGCAAUGGGCGCAAGCCUGACCCUGCCAUGCCGCGUGUGUGAAGAAGGCCCUAGGGUUGUAAAGCACUUUCAGUGGUGAAGAAAAGCCAGGGGUUAAUAGCUCCAGGUCUUGACGUUAACCACAGAAGAAGCACCGGCUAACUCCGUGCCAGCAGCCGCGGUAAUACGGAGGGUGCGAACGUUAAUCGGAAUUACUGGGCGUAAAGCGCGCGUAGGCGGUUCGGUAAGUGGGAUGUGAAAGCCCCGGGCUUAACCUGGGAAUUGCAUUCCAAACUGCCGGACUCGAGUAUGGUAGAGGGAGGUAGAAUUUCCUGUGUAGCGGUGAAAUGCGUAGAUAUAGGAAGGAAUACCGAUGGCGAAGGCAGCCUCCUGGACCAAUACUGACGCUGAGGUGCGAAAGCGUGGGGAGCAAACAGGAUUAGAUACCCUGGUAGUCCACGCCGUAAACUAUGAGAACUAGCCGUUGGGCUCCUUGAGGGCUUAGUGGCGCAGCUAACGCGAUAAGUUCUCCGCCUGGGGAGUACGGCCGCAAGGUUAAAACUCAAAUGACUUGACCGGGGCCCGCACAAGCGGUGGAGCAUGUUGUUUAAUUCGAUGCAACGCGAAGAACCUUACCACCGCCCCUUGACAUUCCUCAGAACUUGUCAGAGAUGACUGGGUGCCUUCGGGGAACUGAGUGACAGGUGCUGCAUGGCUGUCGU